rnacentral:rRNA from 1 species
GCCGGGGUUUCUUUACCAGAUACUGUCAUUGUCAUCUCUGGCGAAAGAGCUUUACGACCCUAAGGCCUUCGUCACUCACGCGGCAUGGCUAGAUCAGGCUUGCGCCCAUUGUCUAAGACUCCCC